rnacentral:rRNA from 1 species
UGGGGAAUAUUGGACAAUGGGCGCAAGCCUGAUCCAGCCAUGCCGCGUGAGUGAUGAAGGCACUAGGGUUGUAAAGCUCUCUCACCGGUGAAGAUAAUGACGGUAACCGGAGAAGAAGCCCCGGCUAACUUCGUGCCAGCAGCCGCGGUAAUACGAAGGGGGCUAGCGUUGUUCGGAUUUACUGGGCGUAAAGCGCACGUAGGCGGACUAUUAAGUCAGGGGUGAAAUCCCGGUGCUCAACCCCGGAACUGCCUUUGAUACUGGUAGUCUUGAGUUCGGGAGAGGUGAGUGGAAUUCCGAGUGUAGAGGUGAAAUUCGUAGAUAUUCGGAAGAACACCAGUGGCGAAGGCGGCUCACUGGCUCGAUACUGACGCUGAGGUGCGAAAGCGUGGGGAGCAAACAUG